rnacentral:lncRNA from 1 species
GGAUGAAAUUUGAAAAAAUAGGCAGGACAGGAGUUUUGAGUAAAAAAAAAAAGGCAGGAUGACCCACUUGCAAAAAAAAAAAGCCAGGACGACAAUUUAGGUAAAAAAAAGUCAGGAUAAACUAAAAAAAAAGGCAGGACCGAACAGAGUGAAAAAUAAAAAGGCAGGACAGAGAUUACAGCUAAAAAAAAAUGCAGGACAAAAUUUUUCAUCCUAGCCUGUUUACAUUACAAAUUAUAUAAUUGUCCCGAAUAAACAGCUGUCACGGAUGUAAAGAGCUAUUGGAGAAACAAUUAUUUUAAUAAAAAUAUAAAUCUUUGUA